UACGUAGGGGGCAAGCGUUGUCCGGAUUUAUUGGGCGUAAAGCGCGUGUAGGCGGCUAUGCAGGUCCGUUGUGAAAACUCGAGGCUCAACCUCGAGACGCCGAUGGAAACCGCAUGGCUAGAGUCCGGAAGAGGAGAGUGGAAUUCCUGGUGUAGCGGUGAAAUGCGCAGAUAUCAGGAAGAACACCCGUGGCUAAGGCGGCUCUCUAGUACGGUACUGACGCUGAGACGCGAAAGCGUGGGGAGCGAACAGG
rnacentral:rRNA from 1 species